rnacentral:rRNA from 1 species
AUGGGCAAGGAGAAGAUCCACAUCAGCAUUGUGGUCAUUGGCCAUGUCGACUCUGGCAAGUCAACCACGACUGGCCACCUCAUCUACAAGCUUGGAGGCAUUGACAAGCGUGUGAUCGAGAGGUUCGAGAAGGAAGCCGCUGAGAUGAACAAGAGGUCUUUCAAGUACGCCUGGGUGCUUGACAAGCUCAAGGCUGAGCGUGAGAGAGGUAUCACCAUUGAUAUUGCUCUGUGGAAGUUCGAGACCACCAAGUACUCGUGCACUGUCAUUGAUGCUCCUGGUCACCGUGAUUUCAUCAAGAACAUGAUCACUGGUACCUCCCAGGCUGAUUGUGCUGUGCUUAUCAUUGACUCCACCACUGGUGGUUUUGAGGCUGGUAUCUCCAAGGAUGGCCAGACCCGUGAGCACGCUCUCCUUGCUUUCACUCUUGGUGUGAAGCAGAUGAUCUGCUGCUGCAACAAGAUGGAUGCCACCACUCCCAAGUACUCGAAGGCCCGUUACGAUGAAAUUGUCAAGGAAGUCUCUUCAUACCUGAAGAAGGUCGGUUACAACCCUGACAAGGUUCCCUUUGUCCCCAUCUCUGGGUUUGAGGGUGACAACAUGAUCGAGAGGUCCUCCAACCUUGACUGGUACAAGGGCCCAACCCUGCUUGAGGCGCUUGACCAGAUCAAUGAGCCCAAGAGGCCCUCCGACAAGCCCCUGCGUCUUCCCCUUCAGGACGUGUACAAGAUUGGCGGCAUUGGAACUGUGCCAGUGGGGCGUGUUGAGACUGGAGUCAUCAAGCCAGGCAUGGUUGUCACCUUUGGUCCUACUGGCCUGACCACUGAGGUGAAGUCUGUGGAGAUGCACCACGAGUCUCUCCUGGAGGCGCUUCCUGGUGAUAAUGUCGGCUUCAACGUCAAGAAUGUGGCUGUCAAGGAUCUCAAGCGUGGGUACGUGGCCUCUAACUCCAAGGACGACCCCGCCAAGGAGGCUGCCAACUUCACCGCCCAGGUCAUCAUCAUGAACCACCCCGGCCAGAUCAGCAACGGCUACGCCCCGGUGCUGGACUGCCACACGUCCCACAUCGCUGUCAAGUUCGCUGAGAUCCAGACCAAGAUCGACCGGCGGUCUGGCAAGGAGAUUGAGGCGGCGCCCAAGUUCCUCAAGAACGGUGAUGCCGGGUUCGUCAAGAUGAUCCCCACCAAGCCCAUGGUGGUGGAGACCUUCGCCCAGUACCCUCCCCUGGGUCGCUUUGCUGUGCGUGACAUGAGGCAGACGGUCGCCGUUGGCGUGAUCAAGAGCGUGGAGAAGAAGGAUCCGACCGGCGCCAAGGUGACCAAGGCUGCGGCCAAGAAGAAAUGA